UGGGUUUCCCUCGAAUAACGCCUGAAAAAGUUACUAAAAUACUAUGAUAUGAAUAGAUCAAGAGGAUACUUUUCAAACAAUCAUGGCCCAAACCAAGCAAUUUUAGUUCUUCCAUUGAAACAAAGUCAAUAAGCUGAUACACGCUUCAACAAACAAAAUUGAAGAAUAGAUUCAUAAAAGCCAAUGAAUUUAGGUAUUAAUCGUUCAUGAUCAAAUGCCAUUAACCAUCAUCCUCCCCACAUUAUGAAAAGUAACAGAACCCUCGAAAAACCCUAAAUUGAUUUCACUGAAUCUCUGCUGUUAUCUAAGAGAGAUCUCUCCAAAGGUUUAUCAGAAGGAAAAAAAAUGGAACUUUUUAAAUUGAAACAAGGAAGGAAAUGGUGAGAACCUGGAUAACGUCUUCAACACGAU